CCACAACCAGGGCCCAAUGUUGAUGUUUUAUCACAAUUUUGCAAGAAUUUCAGCGGGAUGCAGUUUUCUUUCCCUUUCCAUAAGUUGUGCCAUUUGUCAGAUGUGGUAUGUACAGUAUCUAGGAAAUAUUUUUGCCUGGUUUGUAAAGGCAGUUGUUAGUCAGAUGGGCAAAAAUUUAAAAAGGUCUCUGCCACAGCUUGGAAAAUCGGACAAUUAAGUUAAAAUAGUCUUUGGUAAGUGCGUCUGUUUGGUAGAAAAUGCCUACUGGAAAUCUUCCACUCGUAAGACUUUUAUGAUGGUAAAUGUAAUUUCUGCCAAAAGGAAGAAAUGUUGACUUUGCCUGAAUUUUGUAAGUUUAUCAUGAGAAAUAUCUAAAUGUUUCAGAUCACUAUGGCCAUAAUUUCUGACUUGGUUUGUUCAAGCAAACAGAAGCUGUUAUUUUUUGCUUGAUUCACCCUAAAUCUAGCUGACUGAUCAGAUGGAGUUGUUUUGGUUUUCCUGGUUCCACGAGCAUGUCCGACACCGUCCCAGUACCCAAGAGAGCAAGCAGUAAGGGAUGGAGACCAUGCUGAGGGGCAGCGUUUGUCCCUAUCUGUGCAGGAAGGGCAGCGUGCCUACCUCUACGCUGAAGAGGCAGAACAAGACUAGUCCUCUGUCACUGGAGUGUCACCACCCCAGGGCUGCCUAGUCUGAGGCUGCUGCGACCAGCUGCGGGCAAGGAGGGACAGCACACACAUCUCGGCAGGCAGACAGCAGCAAGGUCACUGGCUCGGGGUGGUGUUUGUCCCCGUGCCCGGGGAGAGAGACCCCAUCUCUGUGUGUUUGCAAGAAAUCAAUGUCAGGGAUGGGAAUAAAGGCAACAGAGGCGAUACUCGUACAAAACCAUCCCAGCAAAAGGAAGGUGUCGGUAGCCAUGGGCAUACCGAGAGGAGAGCACAGGCACUCAGAAGAUCUGCUGGUGAAGUGAGCAGUGAGGAAGCAUGUCGGGUCCCAGCAGAACACCCCUCUCAGGGACACAGGGUCCCAGAGCCUGAAACAAGAAGAUCCCGCUCAGUCCACGGGAGGGAAGCUGCGGCUUUGGUCCUGGGCCUCUGCCUUAAUGCAAGCUGCCACAGGUACUGGAGCAGUGGCAAUGCUCUCUGGGCAUGAGAAGCCCCAGGCAACUGUAAAUGCUCCGGCAGUGAAGAUCUAAGCAGUGCUGGAUGAGAAGCUGUACAGUGGCAUCUCAGGAAACAUUUCUGAGAUGGAAAACUUGGGGACAAAACGGAGACAAGUGGAAGUUUUAUUCUAGUAAAAACAAGAGCUCUGCCCCAAAUCAGGCCAAAGGGCAGUCACACAAAGGCAAAUCCCUGCUCUGCCUGAUGAAACCCAGCAUUUUUUUGAGGAACUAUCCAUAUUUUCCCUCCUUAGAUUUCAUUUAGGCAGUCUCAUUGAGGUUGAGGAAUAACGUGGGAAAGAGCCUUUUUCUGCUUAGCAACCAAAGAGGUCCAGACUCCCAUUUCAAUCCCAGUGGAGACAAGAAGAUUGAAUUGUUGAGUUUCAACUAGGAAAUGGGAUGCAAUCUUCAUUCUCAUGGUGGGUGGUGGAGUAGGGAAGGAAUAAAAGACCAGAUUUUGUCCUUGAGCUUACUAAA
rnacentral:lncRNA from 1 species